AACGAACGCUGGCGGCAGGCCUAACACAUGCAAGUCGAACGAACCUUCGGGUUAGUGGCGCACGGGUGCGGAACACGUGGGAAUGUACCCUCAGGUAAGGAAUAACUGCUGGAAACGGUAGCUAAUACCUCAUAAUGGCUUCGGCCCAAAGAUUUAUCGCCUGGGGAUCAGCCCGCGUCUGAUUAGAUUGUUGGUGGGGUAACGGCCUACCAAGUCGACGAUCAGUAGCUGGUCUGAGAGGACGACCAGCCACACUGGAACUGAGACACGGUCCAGACUCCUACGGGAGGCAGCAGUGAGGAAUAUUGGACAAUGGGGGCAACCCUGAUCCAGCCAUGCCGCGUGAGUGAAGAAGGCCUUAGGGUUGUAAAGCUCUUUCAAUAGUGAAGAUAAUGACGGUAGCUAUAGAAGAAGCCCCGGCUAAAUUCG
rnacentral:rRNA from 1 species